rnacentral:rRNA from 1 species
CCUACGGGUGGCUGCAGUGGGGAAUAUUGCACAAUGGGCGCAAGCCUGAUGCAGCCAUGCCGCGUGUGUGGAGAAGGCCUUCGGGUUGUAAAGCACUUUCAGCGGGGAGGAAGGCGUUAAGGUUAAUAACCUUGGCGAUUGACGUUACCCGCAGAAGAAGCACCGGCUAACUCCGUGCCAGCAGCCGCGGUAAUACGGAGGGUGCAAGCGUUAAUCGGAAUUACUGGGCGUAAAGCGCACGCAGGCGGUCUGUCAAGUCGGAUGUGAAAUCCCCGGGCUCAACCUGGGAACUGCAUUCGAAACUGGCAGGCUAGAGUCUUGUAGAGGGGGGUAGAAGUCCAGGUGUAGCGGUGAAAUGCGUAGAGAUCUGGAGGAAUACCGGUGGCGAAGGCGGCCCCCUGGACAAAGACUGACGCUCAGGUGCGAAAGCGUGGGGAGCAAACAGGAUUAGAUACCCCUGUAGUC